UCCCUCGUGGCGCAAUUGGCUAGCGCGUAAGUAGUCUACAAUACAAAUCCAAAUAUUCAUCAUUCUAAUGAUCUCCCAGGUUCGACUGUUAAACAGCAGAUUCAUCGAGAGGUUGGUGGUUCAAGCCCACCCGAGGGAG
rnacentral:tRNA from 1 species